rnacentral:lncRNA from 1 species
AUGCACCAGACAUUUGCUGCCUGGUUAUUCUCAGCAGCAAGGGUCCAGCAGCGGUUGAGACAGACAUUGCCCCUGCCUUCCAAGGCCUAUUUGUACGGGGAAGUAGAUAAUAACUGCCAGAGCAGUACGGAGGGGUCUGUGAAGAUAAUGCCAGGCUUUCCAGUGCCUCCAUGCUGUGUCCCGCUUCCAAACCAGACCCCGCAUCUCCUCCAGGUAAUCCAAGAGGUCAAGAAGAGGGUGACCAGCCGGCCACAAGCUGGUAGUUAUUGAAACUGGAUUUUGGGUACAGGGAUCCUUAUUAUACUUUUUACUUGUAUAUGUAUUUGAA